rnacentral:tRNA from 1 species
GGGGGUAUAGCUCAGUGGUGGGGCGCUUGUCUAGCAUGCAUGAAGCCUUGGAUUCAAUCCUCAAUACCAUCA